CGAUACAUGCAGUCGAACGAAGUAGCAAUACUUAGUGGCAGACGGGUGAGUAACAUGUAGGUAUCUACCCUUUGGCCUGGAAUAACACGAGGAAACUUGUGCUAAUACCGGAUAAGUCUUUACGGAGAAAGCUUUAUGCACCAUUGGAUGAGCCUGCACUUGAUUAGUUUGUUGGUGGGGUAAUGGCCUACCAAGACAAUGAUCAAUAGCUGAUUUGAGAGGAUGAUCAGCCACAUUGGGACUGAGACACGGCCCAAACUCCUACGGGAGGCAGCAGUAGGGAAUCUUGCACAAUGGAGGAAACUCUGAUGCAGCGAUGCCGCGUGAGUGAAGAAGGCCUUUGGGUUGUAAAGCUCUUUCGUCGGGGAAGAAAAUGACUGUACCCGAAUAAGAAGGUCCGGCUAACUUCGUGCCAGCAGCCGCGGUAAUACGAAGGGACCUAGCGUAGUUCGGAAUUACUGGGCUUAAAGAGUUCGUAGGUGGUUAAAAAAGUUGGUGGUGAAAUCCCAGAGCUUAACUCUGGAACUGCCAUCAAAACUUUUUAGCUAGAGUAUGAUAGAGGAAAGUAGAAUUUCUAGUGUAGAGGUGAAAUUCGUAGAUAUUAGAAAGAAUACCGAUUGCGAAGGCAGCUUUCUGGAUCAUUACUGACACUGAGGAACGAAAGCAUGGGUAGCGAAGAGGAUUAGAUACCCUCGUAGUCCAUGCCGUAAACGAUGUGUGUUAGACGUUGGAAAUUUAUUUUCAGUGUCGCAGCGAAAGCGAUAAACACACCGCCUGGGGAGUACGACCGCAAGGUUAAAACUCAAAUGAAUUGACGGGGACCCGCACAAGUAGUGGAGCAUGUGGUUUAAUUCGAAGAUACGCGCAGAACCUUACCAACACUUGACAUGUUCGUCGCGACUCUAGAGAUUAGAGUUUUCGGUUCGGCCGGACGAAACACAGUGCUGCAUGGCUGUCGUCAGCUCGUGUCGUGAGAUGUUGGGUUAAGUCCCGCAACGAGCGCACCCUCACUUUUAGUUGCCAUCAUUAAGUUGG
rnacentral:rRNA from 1 species